AGAGAGAGACAUGCGCGCAUAUCAAUAAGCGGAGGAAAAGAAACUAACAUGGAUUCCCUUAGUAACUGACGAGUGAAGCGGGAAGAGCUCAAAUUUGAAAUCUUCAAGGUUUUACCUUGACGAAUUGUAGUUUAAAGAAGUGUUUUCUGCUGAAGUUUUGGUAAAAGUUCUUUGGAAUAGGACAUCAUAGAGGGUGAGAAUCCCGUAUUUGACCAUUAUUUUCAGCUUUGUGAUACACUUUCAAAGAGUCGGAUUGUUUGGGAAUGCAGUCCAAAAUGGGUAGUAAAUUUCAUCUAAAGCUAAAUAUUGGCGAGAGACCGAUAGCGAACAAGUACCGUGAGGGAAAGAUGAAAAGAACUUUGAAAAGAGAGUUAAACAGUACGUGAAAUUGUCAAAAGGGAAGCGUUUGACACCAGUGUUGUUUUCUCGAAAAUCAAUUAAAAAUGGCUCGAUUUUGUAUUGCUGAGACCUUAAAAGCUCACUGUACAUUUUUCGUGUCUUUUUUAAUGCACUUUUCGUUUAACAAGUCAACAUCAGUUUCUUUUGUUGUAAAAGGGUCAUUGGAAGGUGGCUUUCUUUUCGGAGAAAGUGUUUAUAGCCUUUGGCCUCUGCAAUCGGAGGAGACUGAGGUCUGCAGCGUAGACUCUUCGGGGUUAGAUACAUUUGUGCUAAGUUAUAGCUUUUUAUAGACAACUUGUUGACUAUAAUUAGUCUUGUAGCUUACUCGCUUAUGCUAUUUUACCUACGCUUAGGAUUUGAAGUCAUCGUAUCGCGC
rnacentral:rRNA from 1 species